GACGAACGCUGGCGGCGUGCUUAACACAUGCCAGUCGAACGGAAAGGCCCUGCUUGCAGGGUACUCGAGUGGCGAACGGGUGAGUAACACGUGGGUGAUCUGCCCUGCACUUCGGGAUAAGCCUGGGAAACUGGGUCUAAUACCGGAUAGGAGCCAUUUUUAGUGUGAUGGUUGGAAAGUUUUUUCGGUGUAGGAUGAGCUCGCGGCCUAUCAGCUUGUUGGUGGGGUAAUGGCCUACCAAGGCGGCGACGGGUAGCCGGCCUGAGAGGGUGGACGGCCACAUUGGGACUGGGAUACGGCCCAGACUCCUACGGGAGGCAGCAGUGGGGAAGAUUGCACAAGGGGCGCAAGCCUGAUGCAGCGACGCCGCGUGGGGGAUGACGGCCUUCGGGUUGUAAACUCCUUUCGCUAGGGACGAAGCUUUUUGUGACGGUACCUAGAUAAGAAGCACCGGCUAACUACGUG
rnacentral:rRNA from 1 species